AGCAGCCGCGGUAAUUCCAGCUCCAAUAGCGUAUAUUAAAGUUGUUGCAGUUAAAAAGACUCGUAGUUGAAUUUCGGGAUCAAUUAGUCGGUCGUGCCUCUGGUACGUACUGGUUUUAUUGGUUCCUCCCUUCUGACGAAACAUGAUGUCAUUAAUUUGGUGCCGUGGAGAAUCAGGACUGUUGCCUUGAAAAAAUUAGAGUAGUUUAUAGCAGGCUAACGCUUGAAUACAUUAGCAUGGAAUAAUGAAAUAGGACGUUCAACCCUAUUUUGUUGGUUUCUAGGAUCGACGUAAUGAUUAAUAGGGAUAGUUGGGGGCAUUAGUAUUCAAUUUGUCAGAGGUGAAAUUCUUGGAUUUAUUGAAGACUAACUACUGCGAAAGCAAUUUGCCAAGGAUGUUUUCAUUAAUCAAGAACGAAAGUUAGGGGAUCGAAGACGAUCAGAUACCGUCGUAGUCUUAACCAUAAACUAUAGCCGACUAGGGAUCGGGAUGAUGUUAAUUUUUAAUGUAACUCAUUCGG
rnacentral:rRNA from 1 species